CCGACCUGAUCCACUUAUUAAUAUAAUUCAUUUCUUUUAUCCAAAUUAACUUUGUUUUUCCACCUCCACCAAAGGGCAUCACCCUCUACAAGAUUUCCUCCACCACCAGCGCCGAACCACCACCUCUCCAAUCUUUCCUAACAUGAUUUAUGUGGUUAUUUUCUGAUGGAUUCAUAAUAUUUGUUUUCCUCUAUUAUCUGAUUGACAUUCCUUUCCAACAUUGCAAGUAUGCAAUUGUUUGGAACAUGACUCUUGCUAGUGUGGAUCUGAAUAAAUUCUGCUAUGCGGACUUAUAGCAGCUUACAAGAACAAGGAAAUAGCUUCCAAGGUUAAUAUAACAGCGGGUGCUUUGCUCAAGUGGAGAGGUGGCGAAGGAGGUUUUGGAGAAGGUUGUGGGCUUUGGUGGUAGUGGUGAUGGGAAAAAUAAAGUUGAUAAUGGUAAAAGAAAGGAAAUGGGUUAUAUUAUUAAGUUGGUCGGGUAGAGUUAAAAUUGAAUCAUUUAAGUGAAAUUGAAUAAUUUAAAUUGAUUUGGGGCUUUCCAUUCAACGAGGGGUAUAUUUGUUAAGUUUAUUGAUGGCAAGAACAAAAAAUAACUUGUUUUUAAUAGUAGAGGUAAAAUUAACAAAUAAAACAAAAUUAAGGGAUAAUUUUGACCCUUUUGCCUUUAAACAAUCAA